CGGACGGGUGAGUAACGCGUGAGAAUCUACCUUCAGGUUCGGGACAACCACUGGAAACGGUGGCUAAUACCGAAUGUGCCGAGAGGUGAAAGGCUUGCUGCCUGAAGAAGAGCUUGCGUCUGAUUAGCUAGUUGGUGUGGUAAAGGCGCACCAAGGCGACGAUCAGUAGCUGGUCUGAGAGGAUGAUCAGCCACACUGGGACUGAGACACGGCCCAGACUCCUACGGGAGGCAGCAGUGGGGAAUUUUCCGCAAUGGGCGAAAGCCUGACGGAGCAAUACCGCGUGAGGGAGGAAGGCUCUUGGGUUGUAAACCUCUUUUCUCAGGGAAGAAAAAAAUGACGGUACCUGAGGAAUAAGCAUCGGCUAACUCCGUGCCAGCAGCCGCGGUAAUACGGAGGAUGCAAGCGUUAUCCGGAAUGAUUGGGCGUAAAGGGUCCGCAGGUGGCAUUGUUUGUCUGCUGUUAAAGAGUUUGGCUCCACCAGAUCCAAGCAGUGGAAACUACAAAGCUAGAGUAUGGUCGGGGCAGAGGGAAUUCCUGGUGUAGCGGUGAAAUGCGUAGAUUUCAGGAAGAACCCCGGUGGCGAAGGCGCUCUGCUGGGCCAAAACUGACACUGAGGGACGAAAGCUAGGGGAGCGAAUGGGAUUAGAUACCCCAGU
rnacentral:rRNA from 1 species